UGAGCAGUUUUGCCCAUGGUUUCCAGAAC
rnacentral:piRNA from 1 species